rnacentral:rRNA from 1 species
GACGAACGCUGGCGGCGUGCCUAAUACAUGCAAGUCGAACGCUUCUUUUUCACCGAACUUCGGUUCAUCGAAAAAGAGGAGUGGCGAACGGGUGAGUAACACGUGGGUAACCUGCCCAUCAGAAGGGGAUAACACUUGGAAACAGGUGCUAAUACCGUAUAAUGCUUUUUCUCGCAUGAGAGCAAGCUGAAAGGCGCUUUUGCGUCACUGAUGGAUGGACCCGCGGUGCAUUAGCUAGUUGGUGAGGUAACGGCUCACCAAGGCCACGAUGCAUAGCCGACCUGAGAGGGUGAUCGGCCACACUGGGACUGAGACACGGCCCAGACUCCUACGGGAGGCAGCAGUAGGGAAUCUUCGGCAAUGGACGAAAGUCUGACCGAGCAACGCCGCGUGAGUGAAGAAGGUUUUCGGAUCGUAAAACUCUGUUGUUAGAGAAGAACAAGGAUGAGAGUAAAAUGUUCAUCCCUUGACGGUAUCUAACCAGAAGC